CACCGCGGUUAUACGAAAGGCCCAAGUUGAAAAACAUUCGGCGUAAAGGGUGGCUAAGGACCUAUUCUAAACUAGAGCUGAAUUUCUUCAAAGCUGUUAUACGCUCAUGAAAAGCAGAAAAUCAACCACGAAAGUGGCUCUAACUAUUCCUGACACCACGAAAGCUAUGGCA
rnacentral:rRNA from 1 species